rnacentral:rRNA from 1 species
AUUGAACGCUGGCGGCAUGCUUUACACAUGCAAGUCGAACGGCAGCGGGGAGGAGCUUGCUUCUCUGCCGGCGAGUGGCGAACGGGUGAGUAAUACAUCGGAACGUGUCGAGAAGAGGGGGAUAACCACCCGAAAGGGUGGCUAAUACCGCAUAAAUUCUGAGGAAGAAAGCUGGGGACCUAGGAAUAGGCCUAGCGCUUUUUGAGCGGCCGAUGUCGGAUUAGCUAGUUGGUGAGGUAAAGGCUCACCAAGGCGAAGAUCUGUAGCGGGUCUGAGAGGAUGAUCCGCCACACUGGGACUGAGACACGGCCCAGACUCCUACGGGAGGCAGCAGUGGGGAAUUUUGGACAAUGGGGGCAACCCUGAUCCAGCCAUGCCGCGUGUAUGAAGAAGGCCUUAGGGUUGUAAAGUACCUUUGUUAGGGAAGAAAAGUCAGCUGUGAAUAAUGGCUGAUACUGACGGUACCUAAAGAAUAAGCACCGGCUAACUACGUG